rnacentral:rRNA from 1 species
GGGGAAUAUUGGGCAAUGGGGGCAACCCUGACCCAGCAACGCCGCGUGAAGGAAGAAGGUCUUCGGAUUGUAAACUUCUGUCCUUGGGGACGAAACAAAUGACGGUACCCGAGGAGGAAGCCCCGGCUAACUACGUGCCAGCAGCCGCGGUAAUACGUAGGGGGCGAGCGUUGUCCGGAAUUACUGGGCGUAAAGGGAGCGCAGGCGGUCUGUUAAGUGGGAUGUGAAAUACCCGGGCUUAACCUGGGGGGUGCAUACUAAACUGGCAGACUUGAGUGUGGGAGAGGAAAGUGGAAUUCCUAGUGUAGCGGUGAAAUGCGUAGAUAUUAGGAGGAACACCAGUGGCGAAGGCGGCUUUCUGGACCACAACUGACGCUGAGGCUCGAAAGCGUGGGGAGCAAAC